CCUACGGGAGGCAGCAGUGGGGAAUCUUGCACAAUGGAGGAAACUCUGAUGCAGCGAUGCCGCGUGAGUGAAGAAGGCCUUUGGGUUGUAAAGCUCUUUCGUCGGGGAAGAAAAUGACUGUACCCGAAUAAGAAGGUCCGGCUAACUUCGUGCCAGCAGCCGCGGUAAUACGAAGGGACCUAGCGUAGUUCGGAAUUACUGGGCUUAAAGAGUUCGUAGGUGGUUGAAAAAGUUAGUGGUGAAAUCCCAGAGCUUAACUCUGGAACUGCCAUUAAAACUUUUCAGCUAGAGUAUGAUAGAGGAAAGCAGAAUUUCUAGUGUAGAGGUGAAAUUCGUAGAUAUUAGAAAGAAUACCAAUUGCGAAGGCAGCUUUCUGGAUCAUUACUGACACUGAGGAACGAAAGCAUGGGUAGCGAAGAGGAUUAGAUACCCUCGUAGUCCAUGCCGUAAACGAUGUGUGUUAGACGUUGGAAAUUUAUUUUCAGUGUCGCAGCGAAAGCAGUAAACACACCGCCUGGGGAGUACGACCGCAAGGUUAAAACUCAAAUGAAUGACGG
rnacentral:rRNA from 1 species